UACGACUACAUAUCAGGCAUAUCAAUAAGCGGAGGAAAAGAAACUAACAAGGAUUCCCUUAGUACGGCGAGUGAAGCGGGAAGAGCUCAAAUUUGAAAUCUUCAAGGUUCUACCUUGACGAAUUGUAGUUUAAAGAAGUGUUUUCUGUUAGAUGAGUAGCAUAAGUUCCUUGGAAUGGGACAUCAUAGAGGGUGAGAAUCCCGUAUUUGGUUAUUCAUACUAGCUUUGUGAUACACUUUCAAAGAGUCGGAUUGUUUGGGAAUGCAGUCCAAAAUGGGUGGUAAAUUUCAUCUAAAGCUAAAUAUUGGCGAGAGACCGAUAGCGAACAAGUACCGUGAGGGAAAGAUGAAAAGAACUUUGAAAAGAGAGUUAAACAGUACGUGAAAUUGUCAAAAGGGAAGCGUUUGACACCAGUGUUGUUCUUCCAAAAAUCAAUUACGAAUGGCUUGAUUUUGUGUUGUAUUGACCUUAUCAGCUUUCUUCACUUUUUUCGAGUCUUUCUUAAUGCACUUUUCGGUUAACAAGUCAACAUCAAUUUCUUUUGUUGUAAAAGAGUAUUCGGAAGGUGGCUUUCUUUUCGGAGAAAGUGUUUAUAGCCCUAUACUUCUACAAUCGGAGAGAUUGAGGUCUGCAGCGUAGAUCCUUCGGGGUUAGAUACACUUGUGCUAAGUUGUAGCUUUUCAUAGACAACUUGUUGACUAUGUUUAGUCAUGCGGCUUACUCGCUUGUGCUAUUUUACCUACGCUUAGGAUGUUGAGUAGCGACAUACGCAC
rnacentral:rRNA from 1 species